rnacentral:misc_RNA from 1 species
GUGAAUCAUCGAAUCUUUGAACGCAAAUUGCACUCCCUGGUAUUCCGGAGAGUAUGCCUGUUUGAGGGUCAGUGUAACUAACAACCGGAGUGGUUGCUGCCUUUCGUGGUGAGGCACUGGAGUUGGGUCGUCUUGCCUUCGGGUAGGGUGCGUAAUAUUUUGCAUGUUUUUUUUCGAAUGUAUGUGUAUGAUUUUAGGUACGCUUGGGAUUUGGA